CAAGUUGAGUGGCGAACGGGUGAGUAACACGUGGGUGACCUACCUUCGAGUGGGGGAUAACGUCCCGAAAGGGACGCUAAUACCGCAUAACAUCCCGCCUUUGAACAGGCGGAGAUCAAAGCCGGGGAUCGCAAGACCUGGCGCUUGAUGAGGGGCCCGCGUCCGAUUAGCUAGUUGGUGGGGUAAUGGCCUACCAAGGCGACGAUCGGUAGCCGGCCUGAGAGGGCGGACGGCCACACUAGGACUGAGACACGGCCCAGACUCCUACGGGAGGCAGCAGUGGGGAAUUGUUCGCAAUGGGCGCAAGCCUGACGACGCAACGCCGCGUGGAGGAUGAAGGUCUUCGGAUUGUAAACUCCUGUUGCCCGGGACGAAUGGCUCCAACCUAAUACGUUGGAGUGUGACGGUACCGGGUGAGGAAGCCCCGGCUAACUCUGUGCCAGCAGCCGCGGUAAUACAGAGGGGGCAAGCGUUG
rnacentral:rRNA from 1 species